AAUGCUUAACACAUGCAAGUCGAUGGGGAAGUGGUGCUUGCACCAUGGUAACCAUGGCGGACGGGUGAGUAACGCGUAAGGAACUUGCCUGCGGGACUGGGAUAACAGCAGGAAACUGCUGAUAAUACCGGAUAAGGUCAUUAAGCUGCAUAGCUUAGUGAUGAAAGGAGACGCCUGCGGAGAGCCUUGCGUCCUAUUAGCUAGUUGGAGGGGUAACGGCCCACCAAGGCGAAGAUAGGUAGCCGGCCUGAGAGGGUGGACGGCCACAAGGGGACUGAGAUACGGCCCUUACUCCUACGGGAGGCAGCAGUGGGGAAUAUUGGACAAUGGGGGCAACCCUGAUCCAGCAAUUCUGUGUGCACGAAGACGGUUUUCGGAUUGUAAAGUGCUUUCAGCAGGGAAGAAGGAAGUGACGGUACCUGCAGAAGAAGCGACGGCUAAAUACGUGCCAGCAGCCGCGGUAAUACGUAUGUCGCGAGCGUUAUCCGGAAUUAUUGGGCAUAAAGGGCAUCUAGGCGGCCUUUCAAGUCAGGGGUGAAAACCUGCGGCUCAAACGCAGGCCUGCCUUU
rnacentral:rRNA from 1 species